GACGUAGGGCGCGAGCGUUGUCCGGAUUUAUUGGGCGUAAAGAGCUCGUAGGCGGCUUGUCGCGUCGGCCGUGAAAACCUGCGGCUCAACUGCAGGCUGGCGGUCGAUACGGGCAGGCUGGAGUUCGGUAGGGGAGACUGGAAUUCCUGGUGUAGCGGUGAAAUGCGCAGAUAUCAGGAGGAACACCGGUGGCGAAGGCGGGUCUCUGGGCCGAUACUGACGCUGAGGAGCGAAAGCGUGGGGAGCGAACAGG
rnacentral:rRNA from 1 species